CGAACGGGUGAGUAACGCGUGAGGAACCUGCCUCAAAGAGGGGGACAACAGUUGGAAACGACUGCUAAUACCGCAUAAGCCCACGGGUCGGCAUCGAUCUGAGGGAAAAAGAGUGAUCCGCUUUGAGAUGGCCUCGCGUCCGAUUAGCUAGUUGGUGAGGUAACGGCCCACCAAGGCGACGAUCGGUAGCCGGACUGAGAGGUUGAACGGCCACAUUGGGACUGAGACACGGCCCAG
rnacentral:rRNA from 1 species